rnacentral:rRNA from 1 species
GAUGAACGCUAGCUACAGGCUUAACACAUGCAAGUCGCGGGGUAACAUCUGGUAGAGCUUGCUCUUCCAGGAUGACGACCGGCGCACGGGUGAGUAACGCGUAUCCAACCUGGCCCAUACCACGGGAUAGCCCGUCGAAAGGCGGAUUAAUACCGUAUGCUGUCAUUAAGAUGCAUAUAUUGAUGACGAAAGGACUGGCGGUAUGGGAUGGGGAUGCGUCUGAUUAGCUUGUUGGCGGGGUAACGGCCCACCAAGGCGACGAUCAGUAGGGGUUCUGAGAGGAAGGUCCCCCCACAUUGGAACUGAGACACGGUCCAAACUCCUACGGGAGGCAGCAGUGAGGAAUAUGGUCAAUGGGCGGAAGCCUGAACCAGCCAAGUCGCAUGAGGGAAGACGGUCCUACGGAUUGUAAACCUCUUUUAAGCCGGGGAGUAAAGUGCGUGACGUGUCACGCAUUGAGAGUACCCGGAGAAUAA